CGGCCUGGCCGGGCGGCCCGCAGCUGGAGAGCGGCCCGGGGCGGGCCGGGGCCGGGGCCGGGCGACUGCACCUGUGUAGCGGGGCUCGGGAGGCCUCUCCUUGCAGCAAGUCAGCGCGGAGGCCGUUCGGGCGUUCCCUCUGUUUUUUAAGUGCCGUACUCUAUAUGCUAUCAUUUUAAAAGCCGGCUCUGAAACUGCACGCCCAGAUUUCCUGGCUUGAGUAAAUGAAGAGGUCUGCUGAAAGCGCAGGUCAGCAGAGGGGCUCCACAUCUGCCCGGUUUCCUGGCCGGCCGCUUUGUUGCUUUGUUAGCGACUGCCUUCGGCGCUUGGAGACGCUGCGCCUCGGAAGGGACAAAGAGCAAACGCAAGGGCCACUUUGAAAGGGGACGUCCCUUUGCCAGCCGGCUGUAGGGCUCCGAUCAACCAAAACUGUAACAGCCACCUGAGAACAGGGCGACAAUCGGGAGUGCGGGGUUUGUUCCUUUUUCUUUUUCUUUUUCUUUUUUCCUUUUCUUUCCAGAGACUCGGGGUUUUGUUUCAGAAACUUCCCAGGCGUAGGAGCUGGCUGUAAAGGUUGCACCAGAUCGAUUCCAAGUUGUAUCUGCUUCACAAAAGUCAUUUUGGCAGCCAGGAACCGACAAGACCUGAAUCCAAAACCCAGCAGAAGUUCCGUGUUAGAAACUUUAGAGAAGGAAAAUGUCUAGCACUUGGGAACAAUGUAGGCUUUCAUGUGAAGCUCUUUGAAAAGUUAUAACGUGGUGAGAAGUCCUUGGAUUAAAUCUUGUUUACUCGCGGUGCCGACUGACACCGAGUCGGGGUCCGCUCCCUAAUGGGGAGGGGUUGUGGCUCUGUGCAAAACAGGCUGUAAGUGCAUAUUUGUGUAUGGCACCAAUACAAAAAGCUGUGACAAGCGACUGAAUGAAGUCAGCGCUUUCCCCACCGGAGUGGUUCAGUGAGUGCAUUUAAGGCCAUUCCUGCUCUCCCCUCUUGCUUGACGUUUUCCUGGCCCGGUAUGCUAAUGGAAGCCAUCCUAAGCUAGCAGGUAUCACCUGCCCCUGCGGGGAAGCAGCAGCAUCCUGUCCUAGUCCUGCCACCAGCGAACAUUUGUGGAAACAACUGAGAAAGCUCAGUUAAACGGCUUUAUCUUGCACUUGUUACGCUUCUGCUGAAUGCAGUUCAGGCCAGUGGGAAUCUGAGGUAGAUUUAAAGCUGCUGUUCGAGCACCGUGUCCCAGCAUUGCUCUGCUGAGCUCCCCAGGGUGGGGCUUUCCACUUACUACAGGGCUCUCCGAUGGGGAAGCGACUGCUGAGGGGGAAAAAAUGAUAGCUGAGGAAAGUGGAAUUAGCCAUAAUACAGAUGGGGCUUGUGUACCACCAAUUCCCCUUGAAAAAUGUGUUCAUCCUACUUGUCAUUUGCAUGGUGGCAGCAGCCAGGAGUCACAGCAGUGGAGCAGGCCCCUCUGUGCUGCACUGUGCGCAACUGCACAGCAACAGGACGACAUGCCCUCUGCUUGGUUGCAGUCUGAGUACUGCUCCUCCUCAUCCCCCUAGAAGUGGCCCCAUCCUAGGGGUAUCAGCCUGACUGCGGAGGAAAAUCUGCUCCCUCUGGAGCUGUGUGCAUGGUAAUUUGUAUGGAGAAAAAAAAGGAAAGGGUACUCUUAGUUUGUGGAAAGCUUAAGGGUGGUUAAGUAAGCACUGAGGGCUUGAGCUGGAGGGUACUUCUCAAUCACAGAAUCACAGAACUGUAGGGGUUGGAAGGGACCUCUGGAGAUGACCUAGUCCAACCCCACUGCUAAAGCAGUUCCCUACAGUAGGCUGCAGAUUUGCUAUGUGACUUUGCACUCUUCGAGCCGUUUGCAGCCUCGCAGGACUGAGGUUGCGUGGUGGCCACUAGUAAGUAAGAGGGCUGUGGCGGUGUGGAGACAUCGGGACUUUGUGAAUCCUGGAAGGUCUCAGGCUCCAUCCAAACAGUCCUCCGAGCCUGCUCCAGAAAGAACGCCAAUUAAAAUUAACACUGACCUCCAUCAGUCAUAUUCCACAACUGCCUGGACAUGGUAGCUCUUAAAAGAACACGCUUGAUCCUAACAGCCUGUUCUGCCUCUGUAAUCAAAGCACCCAGCACAUGACCCCGUGGUGUAUGGGGCAGUGGAGCAGCCGGUGCCUGCGGCAAUCCCAGUCUGUGGCUGAGAAUGCCUCACCCCAGUUCUUUCAGUGCUGGUGUAUUUUACUGCUCGUGUGUGUGCCGUGCAAAGAGCACAGAGACACUGCAAUCUGGAUUUUCAGGCAGUGUUCUGUGUCUUGGUCUGAGGAGCCCUGCCUGCUUCCUGCUUCAGCUGUCCAUCUUUUCCUGUGUGUUUGUUGCGCUACAGAAUUCAGUCUUGAAUGCAGGAAAACUACACGGACACAGGACCCAGAAACCUUCUGGAAGCACGAUCAAGGCAGGCACACAACUUCUUUGAUGACUUUUUAUUUUUAAGCGCUUUCCUCCUCUGCUUUAUUUCUGGGUUCACAUCAACAAAGCUUUCUUAUUUAUCCACUUCAACUGUGAUGUUUACUGCCAGGGCCACUACUUAAUUAUUUUCCUGCAGUACACAUCUGGAAGCAUUGUAGUUUCUUUCCUCUGUAUUGGGAUGCAUGUGAUUUGUUUUCUUGCCAUCCAGCUGGAUCAUACUCUUUUAUAGGCCGAGAUUUACUUAAGUGAGACUCCUGUCUCAAAUUGAACUUCCUCACCGUUUAGAAAACCAUUCUCAUCUUACAUGUAAAAGGGUGUUGAAUCCAGUUCAGGCAAUAACGUGUAAUCAGUAUUUCCUCCCGGGUGAGGUGUUUUCUAGUUGUUUGUGUUCCAUCAGAACAUCAGUGAGAGUUUGCAGGGAUCUGGAGAACCGUCUGCUUAGGGGUAAUUCAUAACUAAUGGACUCAUGGAGAUGUUGGCCAUCGGCUGAAAUCAAAGCAUGGAGGGAGCUGGCCCAUGGCUGCUCGUGGGGCUGCCACCAGCAGCACCUGCCCCAAACCCACUUCUGUGUGUUCCUGGUGCCGUGCUGGGCACCUCGGCCCCCUCUGGACUGGCUGCAAGGCACAUGGUGACUUUAGUGCAGGAAUCUGGGGAGACUUCCGAAAUGUACAGGUGCUGGAGCCAUUUUUCAUUCUUUGAAGCUUUCCAUAUCCCUGAUCUUGAUAAGUCUUAAGGAGUCAGGGCUACAGCCUGAAGCCCAGCAUUCUUACCUUUUACUGUGGCAGAGGAAAGGAGGGCACACUGAGAACAUCUCAAUUCUCUUUGUAAAAGAAUGUGGUGUAGACAGGGGAUGGCAGUCAAUAAGGAGUUAAGCCAGCAAAUGGUGUUACUGUUGGGUUUUUUUAUUGCCUCACCCCAGGCGUUUGCUGCGAAUCCUCUAUGUGAAAUGUGGUGGAAUUAUUGUGAAGACGUGUUGUUUAAAUAUUAAACAUUAAUGUCCUCCUUUUGAUGGUUAAGCCAGUAUUAAAACCGUUAAUUUUUCAUUAAAGCACCUUAAGCCAAAUUUGUUUAAACUCUCAGUUUGCUGUCAUCUUCGGGGUAGAAAACAGAAAGUAAAAGCUGUGCAGACCUGAGGAUAAAUGGGAGAGAAAUGCAGGAGCCAGCUCCGGGCUUCCUCGUGCUGCGGAGAGGAGAUGAAGGGGAAGGGAGAAGCAGCAGGAGGGGAAGGAAGGAGAAGAGCAGCUCUGUGAAGAGAGGACAAGGGAGGAAGAGAAUAGCACGUACAGAGCCGUGGGAAGGGCAGUGCCACACUAUGGCAGGGCUUGGCCCCAGCUGCAGUGUUUUAUCUCAGCUUUAUGGUGCGAUCGCCAGCUCCUAACAGCGGCGAUAAGGGGGGACCUGUAAAAUCGCAUCCACAUCUUCACCACUGCUCUGCGACCGCCAGCAAGGGAUGGCAGAAAUAUAGCUGCUAGGAGGUGUUUGUGCGUGAUCCUUUGGUGCAUAAAUGGCUCAAAGCUGUGGUUGGCGGGUAAGGUGGUGGCUGGGCAGGGAGAUGGGAGAGGAAGCGCUGGCUGAGGCUGCCUUUGCCAAGCAGGGAGAAGGAUUUUGCAGUAAUUGAGAUGUGAAACGCUGAGAGUCUUGACAAGAGUUUUAGCUGUACAGAUGGGUAAGGAAGGCCAUAUCUCAGAGACGUGAUGCAGAAAGAAUCUGCAAGCGGCAGAGAGCGGGCUUGGAUGGGAGCCCAGGGGAGGCGCCCGUGGGAGCCGCUGCCCAGGUGAAAAUUGCGCUCUGUGUGACAAUGGGAGAAGGAUGCACCAAGCUGACGGAGCGGUGACAUGGGCGCUGGUGGACUCACGUUUGGAACAUGUGAAAUGACUGAGGCAAGUAUUGAAAAAAAAUGAAAAAAGCAAAGGUAAUGUGGGGAGUGCUGCAGAGAAGACUGGGGAUGGUAGUUUUCCAUCCGGAGAACGGAGGAAAAAUCUCCUUGCUGUCUGACUGCAAAGCAAUAGCAGAAACAGAGCACAGAGAUCCUGUGCAAUGGGUACAUCUGUGGGAAAACACUGGGGACUUGAGAGGGUUGACUGGGGAAAACUAACAGAUAUUUUCUUAAAUGCCUCAAUCCCCAAACUAAAAGGCUGGAAGGGCAACACUCAACCUGACCAGAAGGGAGCAAAACUAACAUAAGUUACACGUAUAUAUUUGCAAAGGAAUCCAUGUUUGUGUGGAUUGUAUGUGGAGUAUGGCUACACAUAUGCACGUACAAAUCCAUAUAAAGGGUGUUGGAGGUCCACUCGUAGGGGGCUUGUCACUACAGGGUCUGCCCUGACCAUCAGAAGACUACCAGUGCCUUCAGGAAUGGUCAGGAAGAAAAGGGGCUCCCUGGCUUAGUUCCCAGUUCUUGCAUUUCCAUUUUGUCCAUGUGCGUCUGGGAGGGUGCACGCCUCAGUGUUUGGGUCACAUGGAUACACGUGUACCUGCAACAGAGAGGGAAGGCAGACAAGGUGCUGUUUAGGGGCAGAAUUGGUAAAAUAAAAAAAUGUUGGCUUAUUACUUUAUGAAGGUACAGUUAAAGGCAACUAAGGGGGUUUUUCAAAGCAUCAUUAAUAGCAGAGACCUGAAUAACGGUGUGUCACUAAGUGGAAGUCAUAAGCCACCAGCCAAGCAUUACACACAAAGGCCUCACUAUCAGUAAAUGCUCCUUCUGUGUGUUUGGGAAUAAGCCCACAGCACACGUGUUCCAGGAAGAUGGCAGUGAGGAGGAUGCUUGGUUCCUAGCACCAUGUGGGGUGACAGUGCUGUCGAAGGCCUGCAGGCCUUCAGUGACAUUUGUUAUCCUUUUUCUGCACAAAAACCCACUCAGUUGCCUUCUAACAAGCAAGUGAGCAAAUGUGUGUUUUUCUGGGCUGGUCUCAUUUGUAAUUUUACCACUUAUUACUUCUUUCUUUAAAGAGUCUAAUUUUUAUUAAAUACUAAUAGAAAUUACAAAGAAACUUUAUUUAGGUUAGCUAGCUCCUAACCAUUAGAUUAAAUCAUCUUUCCUUAGCCAUUCCCCCACUAUGCUCCCUGCAGGAUUGUCCCCGUGUGCAGGAUUACUGAGCCGUAGGUACAGUGGGAGAUGUCCCGGUGCCAAGUUGAGCCUUUGUCCAUAAUUCUAGCCAUAAUUCACCCUGCUCAGCCUGAGAUGUUCACAUGCUGCCCAUUCCCAUCAAACCCUGUAACUCUGUCAGGUCGGAGAUGGUGUUCUCGUUUUCCUUGCCUUGUGUUGCCUCUGGUUGAUUUGGAUUGUGCUGUGUUGUGUUGCCUUGCCUUGCCUUGUCCUUCCUUCCCUUCCUGACUGCUCCCUCCCUUGCUUGGAGGAGUACAUGGCCAAGUGCAGCCUGAGGAUGUGGAGGGAACACCUUGGGCAGCCUGGUGUAGUGAGGGCAGUUGGAAACCAGGCUGGGAGAGCAGCGAAGUAUGUUGGUGUUUGUAGGAAAGGCUUGGACAGGAAAGCACAGCCAAUUGCUUGUGUGCAGCAUUGCCAGAGACCUACAAAUUGCAAGGUAGAAAGUUUCCUCUGGUUUUUCCAAAGUAGAGGUAAUAAGAAGCUCCCAUGGCAUCCAUCAACAUCUCUUCAUGCCAUCACCUUGUCCCUGGCUCUGGGAGCACAGAUGGGCAGAAAGCACUGGAUGAUGUGCCUUACUGAACACCUGAGCUUCAGCUGCUCAUCUGAAGAGUGUGGGUCAAAAGAGAGUACACCUCUCUAUUGAGAGGAGAUGAUCUCCACUGCACUCCAGUGAGGUACUAAAUCUUCCACGGAUCUCCCUGAGGUAGUGAGAAGAUCCUUUUCUGUCACCAAUCCAUGGCCCAGCAUGUUAAGGAGGAGGGAGGCUUUGCAGGGAAGGACCUCUUCCACCUGGCCGAAAAAUCAAGAUGGCGGGGCCUGCCACAGGCUGGGCUCCCUGCAUACCUGGGCUGGCCUGGCAACAGGAGCUUGGUGCCAACAGCAGCACCUGCUUUCAGGCCUCUGCUUUCAAGGAGGCAUGGGAAAAGGGAAACUGGUGUGUUCAUUCCCCGCUGCUUUCCCUGCCCUUUUGCCCAGAGUGCACCGCUCUCCUCAGACAUAAGCGGCAUGGCCAAUGGGCAUGAAAAGGACGUGAUGGCAUGGGGCAGUUGACACUAUGGCCCCUGGGAACUUCCCCUGCGACCUGCCCCUGACACGAGGUGCAGCUCUGGUUUCCAACCAGUGUCAGCACUGGGGGCCUCCCUGCAGUGGCUGCUGAGGACCUAGAGUGUCCUCAUGCCACUCGCCAAGUCCUUCUGGUGCUUGCAAGGAGGGGCUGUUCAGAGGUGUGUGAAGGGAUGGGCAGGGGUGGGCGCUUGGGACCAGUUUUGGCUCUGGAUGGUGUUGGGAUGCAUUUGGGCUGGCUCCCUUGAUGCAUCCCCCUCUGCAGGGAUGUCCUGCUGAGAUCCAGCCAGAGCAGAGGGACAGUGCUUGGAGCUCAGCCCUGACUAUUAAAAUGCUCAUGUUUUGCAAAACCUAGUUCAAACCCAGGGCUGAACGAGGCUGAAAAACCAUCAGAUAACCAUUUGCUCAGUGGCUGUGUUGGAUCCCAAAGAAGCCAACCCAGGCUACAGGACCCUGGGCUUCAUGCCACUGGCAUGUCUUGCUUCCUAAAGCGACCCCACUGCCUUGCUAAGGUAUGAAAUCCCGCCCUUUUACCUUUGGGCACCCCGGGAUAAGGUCCCUACUGAUGGGGAGCAGAAGUGCUCCCGCCCUACAGGAGACGGGGAGCUGGGCUGCAGCGUGCAGCCAGAGCAGCCAGGCCGAGCCCUGCAGCCAGCGGGCAGCAGCCCCAGCACCACACAGGACUGCGCCCAGGGUGCUUAGCGUUACUGCCGGCUUUGGCAAGGCCCUUCUGGCUCGCCCAGUGGGAAGGAUUAUGAAUAAAAUUUCACGUUUCCCCCCAUCCCAAUUGUUCGUCACGUUUCUGUUAUUUCAUAGUGGCAAUCUGUCAUGGCAAUGAGCGGGGCCGGGUGGGGCUCGCCUGAGGCUCGUGUCCCCUGCACUGCCCGGCACAGCCCAAGCGGCCUGAUACGGCAGGAGUGGCGCGGUGAGGGGUGCAGCCGGAGCCUUGGCACCGCCGCCUUCAUGCGAGAUGGCAACAAUGGGGAGCUGCCGGCUGCCAAAUCUCAACACAGCAGGCACGGCUGGGUUCAGCUCAAGCAGAACGCAAGCCGUGCAGGACCCUCCAUUUUGGAAGAGAGCUAGCAAGGUCUGGCACUUGGAAUUCUUGGCAUCCACAAGUGUCUUCACUCUUUCUUAUCCCCUCCUGUUCCCAGUAGAUUUUGCAUCCUUUACAAUGGAUAAAUUAUACAUGCAGAGUUUACUCUCCUAACCGAGCUUCGAGAAUACCCCGGUGCCAGCCAAGGGAGCUGGUGCAUGGGGGAAUAGCCAGGAAUGUUUAAAAUAGUCUGGCCAUGUGACUUUGAGUUUGGAAAAAAAAAAAAAUCCUUCCCCCCAGCAUUUUAAAUGUAAGCGAACUUUCUUUUAUUGCAGGAAAGAGCCACGGGCUGCUCUGUGUGAGAAUCCUGGGCCGGGAGCUCUCAUUCCCCUCCUUCUCCCAGCUGUGUCUGGUCCCUGGGCACCCGCACAUGCAUCACUCCCUGCUGUUUGCUGCAGCCCUGGACAGCCCUGAGCAGGGACACACAGGCAGUGCAUGUCCUGGGUUGUGCAGGGGCCGGGUGGGAGCUCCUCCUCACGUGCUGUCGCCCUUUGCCUGUCCUCAUGUCCCCAUUGUGGUGGCACCCACCAGGCUCAAGCACUGUGGCUGCCCCGGGUGAGUGCUCCCACCCCUGGGUGAGCGCUUCCACUCCUCCGGAGGCAGAGGGGCAGCUCUGUUAACGAACCUUUUAAUUAUGGCUACCAGCUUGUGUUACAGGCCUCUGAGUCUCAUUUGAAUGCAGGCAACUUUAAGCUCUUUUGGCAGUAUGAAAGGGCCUCAGAGUGGAUUCCAGUCACAUGUGCACUUGCUUUUAGGCUCCAGUGCAGUGCCAGCGUGAUGUAAAGGGGCCUCCGUCAGCCGGAGGAUCAGGCCCCGCAUAUUUUACACUCUUUUGUAGCUUACUGUGACUCUGCUUAUCUCUAACAGUUAAAAACCGAGUGCCAAUGGUCUACACGCUGGAUACGUAUCAUGCAAAACCAAAUAUAGCACGGCUCAAGAACACUCUUUGCAUAAUGUACAUAUGUAUUUCAUUUAUUUUUGUAAAAAUUCUGCUUAAGCAUAUGGAAGGGAAGGAGUGAUAACACUGCCUAGAGGCAGAUAUAAUGUGGUCAGGCAAUGUGCAAGCUUCCUCACACAGCUCGAAGAAUGUGCUUGAGUUUGGAGUUGUUAUAUGAGUCCUGGACAAUUCCUUAGCAGCAAGUAGGUCAUACAGAUGAUUGUGUGGCAGGGGUCUUCCUUCCCAUCGGGUGGUGGAGAGCGUCCAAAUGCAUUUCACCUGGGGCUGGUGUUUCUCUAACCCAGAGCUAUGAAUGUGCAAGACUCUGGCUGAAAAUAACCACGUAGAUCCAUAUUUAGGAGCCUGUAUGCAUGGGUUUCUCUUCAAACUUUUGGCUUGCCACAUCGACGCUGUCCUACCAGUGAUUCUACAAACCCUCUACUUUACGUUGCAUUUCAGAACUACUACAGCCAAUUGUCAAAAAAAAAAAAAAGAAAAAAAAAAAAAGAAAAAAGUAAGAUUGACAGAAAAAAAUACCUAUGCUUAAUAAAAUUUAAACUUUUUUCUUCAUAAUUCUCCUUGCAUGGGACAACCAGACCCCAGUGAGAGAUGCUGAGAGGUGCUUGUUUGAAGUACUGGCUUCAAACAAGCUUCGGUCAUCUCCAAGCAUGCCUCUGUCCAUGCUGCUUUUCCCUACUUUCCUUGUAGGCAGAUGAAACCAUAUGUCUGAUAAAAGGAGUGGCUGCUGCUAGAGAUUGGGGUGUACCAUGUGUUUGCUGUGAAUUGUGCAUUCUUUCACAUCAAGCACUGUAGAAGCAUGGGUGUCUCUUUGACACUGCGUUGGAUGUUACCAGCUUUUGAGCGCUUAGCCAAAGCCAUCCCCAAGCCUCCAGGCCUUUGGCUAAGCCCUGUGGCCUAGCUAUGCCAGGGGAUACUCCCAUGUAAAACUCAUUAAAAAGUGGGAUGUGGAGAGCACACCUAAGCUAUUCUGGAGUCAGCGGGCUCUUGGCUGAGCUACUGGCAGGGUCAAGGUCUGAACAGCACAAAGAGAAGGGAAGGGAGAAGAAAGAGAGUUGCAAAGGUACCAGUAUGUGGUUACUCAUGGGCAUAGGUGCGGGUUUAACUUGUGGACAUUGGUUUUAUCUAUGAGUUUGCUUAGAUUUUAGCUCCCAGGAUUUGCCUUAGAAACUGAGGGAUUCUUGUGUGCAGUAUUAUCUCACUGGCAUAGGAGCACCUUCUGCUGAGAGGCUGUUUUGCAGAAGCAAAUAGGAGGACUGUUCUGAAUGAGAAGAGGUUGAAGCAGAGGCAUUUCAAGAGGACAAAGAGCUGUGACAGUGCACAAACACGUAAACAGAGGCAGCAGCAUCCAACAACAAAAGGUGUUUUUGUGGUAUGCUCUCCCAUUCUAUCCCAAGACAAAUUUUAACCUAAUUUUUUUACUCAUAAAUUGAUUUUCUUUAUAUAAUUUUGGGCAGCUGAAACUAAGAAUAAAUUAGAUCUUAGUCUGCUAACAGGGACCCUGACCAGAGGAGCAGUUAAGCCCACUCUUAGCAUGAAGCACAGGAGUUGUUCCUCCAUGUCAGCAGGGCUAUGCCUGGGCUUUAAGCUCAGCAUCUUUUCAAGUAUUUGGAGUGUAAGGUUCACAAGAGCUGGUCUCUAACCUCCUCCCUUUUCCCACUUUUGUAUGUCAAACAUUCAGACAUUUGCAUGUGAAAAUAAGUAGUGUUGCAAAGGGAAGUAUUACGGCUUUUCUACCUUCCCUUGAGAAAAACUGGCCUCCAGACUGUGAGGUGACUCUCAGUUUAGGAGAACUGCUCUGCUUAUCCCCAUCCCCAUAGCCCUGGGUGAGCAUGGUUGUGCCUGCAAGGGAGUGAAUUAGUGUGAGGUGUCUGUGGGAAGUCUGUGGCUCCCCGUGCUGCACAACGGAUGGGAUGGAAGGACUGGAUUUUAAUUUAAACAAUUAAUUUUGAGGGAAGUAAUAGAACAGAAAAGAAAGUGAAGAUGUAUUUGCCCAAGAAACCUCCUGAAAUGUCUCCUAUUUUUAGAAUGCUCUGCAAAUGCUUUUCAUGCAAAUGUAUACGCACGUAUACAUACGUAUGUAUAUCACUGUUAUGUAAAUCAGAGCUGGUUUCUUAUUGACUGUGUUAAGAAGCUUUGAAAAGGCUGUGACAUUUCCUUUUCUGCAAAGGAAUUUUUGUUUAUAAAGAAAUAAUUGAACCCGUGUGUCAUAAAGGUGUUUGGAAGCAGCCAGGCUCUGAUAGCUGUAUUCACACUGAAUGCGAUCUCAUUGAGCGAGCGGUCCGCUGCAGUGCUGUGCUGAAUGCUGAUCAACUUCCAGUUGCUCACUCAGACCUAAUGCCUGCCUAUGGCAGCCAGCAGAGCUCUAUCCAAAGUGUUUACAGGUGGCAGAUCCACCUCCGUGAGGUGUGUUGCAGAGCUGGAGAGCCCAAGGAGCAGGGCAGGCUAUGGAGUUGGUCUCACUGAAUGUUCCCCUGCAAACAGAGCUCUAGAGGGGAUGGAAAAGAGAUGUACCAGAAACUCGCUCAGUCUCUCCAUACUGCCAAAAACCACGGAUCUGGCCUGUGGAGCCACAGGACAGCCAUCACUUUUGGUGCACAGUCACACCGAGCCUUGUGUGUGUGUGUGAUGCUGCAGCCACAUCUCCCGUGAUGGCGCUGGGUGGGGUCUGCAGCAUCCGUGCACAGGGAGCACAGCACCCACCUUGCUGGUGUGCCUUUGGAGGGAAAAUUCCAUUCUCCAAACCACCGUGCAGGCCUCCAUCCUGCUGGCAAGCUGUCAGGAGAUGACUACUGUGGACCUCUUUGGUGCAAAACCACCUCUUAUAAAGUCAUCAAAGCCCAGCGGGAAGCCAAGAAUUCCUGAGGCUGGAUUGCAUCCCAGAGUGUCCAGUAAGCAAAGAUGUACAUUACAUGUAUGCCUAAAAUGGAAACAUGAGCUGGUGCUUACUUCUACAGCUUCAAAGGCAGCAGCCAGCGGAUCCUCUCUGGAGCCCAAAUGCUGGUCCCAGCCCACAGCCCUCAGUGCUGGCUGGGAUCAAAGGUGAGCGCCAGGUCCCAGGCCGCCGGUGCGGGAGCAUCUGCGGAGCAGCAGCCAGAUGGGGAGAGCUGCAAAUAGAGGGAGCCGCUCCACCACAUCUGCAUGAGGACGAAAACGUGCAGCAGUCAGAAAACAUCUUGGCAAAUCUGAUUUUCUUUCUGGAAGUGGAAAGAUGUUUCUUAGUAGCAGCUUCUGCCCAUGUCCGUCAGCUGCUUUGUGUGACUUUCCUUUUCACUUUCAGCUGUCUGUUCUGAGUGCCAAAGGAAAUGAAAAGGGAUUAUUUUACACCCAAGUCGUAUAUCCCUUAAGAAAGGGAGCACCCUGCUGUGCCAGCUAGUGGUUUCUAUACAGUGGCAAGACAUAGAAAACAGACACUGACUUUGAAAAGUAAAACUCUCCAGGGAGUCACUGCUCUCCCUGAGGAAAUACCAUUUACUGUGCACCAACUCCAUUUGUUCGAGGGACACUUUUAACGUGCUUCCUGGAUUUUAAUGCAGUUCAGGUUGUCACAGCACAGGAAGAUAGGAGCUGCCUUUGGUGGGUAUGAACAACGGGUUCGUAUAUUGGGUUUUGUGGCUAUAAAUAUUGUUUACCUAGAAAGACCAGUGAAUGAGCAAGCAGUGUGGACCAGCGAGGUAAGCGAGGCAGUGCAGUGGUGUCCUUUCACCAGCAGUGUCUCUCCUGGUGUACUCGGACAGGGGACAGGAGGGACAGUCACUGGAAUGCUGGAAUUCCACUGGGAUUUCAGCCCUGAGCUCCAGCCAAAGAGGUGAAACCAAACUGUUCCUAUGUCAUCUGCAUUUGCAGAGUAUUUGUCCCUCCUGCUCAUAAAGGGGAAAAAAAAUAAAAGGAGAGGAGAAGAAAGAAAGCCUCACACUUUCUGUGGCAUCUCAAGCUGGGGGGAAAGGCCAAGAUAAAUGGAUACUUUCAAGGUCAUUAGCUUGUGGAGCUCACAGUUUGUAUCGCCCUGCCAAAGCUCUGCUUGGAGAGGUUAUAAAUGUAUUUCGACUGGAGCAGGGAGCUCAUUGUUGGAGUUUGGAUCCUCUGCUUGGCUGACAGUGAAAAAUCCCAAUUCUGGUGAAGCAGCCCCCCUCCCGCUUGGAAGGUCUUUUGUCUAUUCAUCUGUAGCAGAGAACACAAUGAAUUAGAUGUGCAAUCGGAGAUAUCGCAAUGCCUUGCCAGUAUGGAUGCCACCAUCAGAAAUGCCUCUGGGAAGCUGACCUUCCCGGCGGCCCACCAAAAGGAACACAAAGUCAAGCCUUGUUUGCUGUCCUAGGAAAUUACCUUGAAAUGAUGACCAGCCCUCUCCAUCUCACCAGCCAGUAUCCCUGCAGGCUGUGAUGGAGGGACAGAGGAAGGGACAGAGCCAGAAAUGAAGGGUGUUGGGCAAGGCACUGCUCCUCUCCCCGGCAGACAUUGGUGCCACCCCACGCCAAGGCAUGGCGUGUGGGUGUUUCACAGCCUGCCUGACGAUGUGUGAGUGCACAGCUGAGCUGGCUGCCACCCUGCCUUACUGUCCACAUUUUUCCUGCCUUUUCUGACUACUUUGCCACCCAGCAGUGAUGCUGGGUGCAGAAUGGGUGCACUUAAGGGCACACCAUAUGUCGCUUUGUCAUCCACAUGUAUACCUGCAGUUCUCAGUUGGAACCAGCAUCCUUCGGCCUCCUUGCCCUGCCCGAAUGCUGUAUAUCAUGCUAUGUGAGACCUAUGUAAAGUCUUCCCUCAAAAUCAAGAUUUCUCAAUUUCCCCAGAUGCACGCUGGUUUUGCUUGGCACAUGGAUGCUGUUCCCGGCAUCAUGGGCUCCACAGGUGCCAAGGGACUCAGAAGUACUGCAGAUAAAUUGCUAUUUAGGGUCAAUGCCACAGGCUGAAAUGGAUAGAAAAUUCCAUCUAUUUGGUGCACAGUCAAACCAGAUGUUUUAUAGCCUCUGGUGGAAUAUCAGUAGACGUAUUUCACAGCAGUAAAGGUCAAAGAUGGACUCUAAAAUAAGUGGAGCCAGCAUUUUUGAUGGCUCUCAGAUUAGAGGAAUAUUUACUGGCAGAGAAUAUCUGCAGAACAAGAACAUCUCAGUCAGGAGCUGGAGAAAACUUUCAGCAGCAGCCAGCACCCCUCAGAGCCCACCAGGUCUCCCUGAACCUUGAGCCAAAAUGGAGGGCCUGCAGAGCCUCCAUGGGGCAGCAGGACUUCUCUCUCUCCAUCCAAGGCAUGAAAGGCAUCUGAGCAGAGUCCUUUCCCCCUUGACUGCACCCAGCUGAAGUGUGUACUCUGGGAAGUGAUUUCUGCUCAUCAUUUCCAGGCUGUGAAACUGAAGUAUGGGAAGCCUGGGAGGUGCAGCUUCUGGGAUCUCCUUGGCCUCUACUUCCCACAGCCCAUGGAGCCUACAAGGCCUGCGCCUUCCUCGCAGCUGUGGGGAGGUGCCUUCCAAGCUCUUUCUCCUGCCACCUCCAAGGGCCUCCCAGAAGUGGCCUCAACGUGGAGCAACUGGAAUUUACUCACAGCAGGCUUUGGAGGACAGUCAGAGACAUCUGAGAUUUAACUGCCAUAGGUUCAUUUCACUACAGAACUGUUCCCCAGGAUAAUCUUCUCUGUAUGUUUUAGUUAAUAAAAGAACUAUCCUGAAGCCUAUAUAAAGUAAGAGCUGCAAUAAUACAAUUUGAAAGUGGACAGGGCAUGAAUUAGUGCUCCUUCAGAGGUAUUUCUUAGAUGGCAUGCAGGGAUACUGAGAACAGAUGUUAUAUUGCUUUUAGAGGACAAAAAUGGGUCAAACCUUACAGCAAAGUCUCUAACUGUCACAUAGUCUCUGCUGUCCUAUAUUUCUCAGGAUGGAACCAUGAAGCACUCACUCUCCUGAUCCAGUUGUCUGAAGCAGCCCCAGUGUGCAGGAAGGACACGUCCCUCUGGGGACCAGGGGUGAAUGGAUGGCAAGUUGGUGUUGGAGAGGUGAAGAGGAGGUUGGAGACAGCCAUGGGACUCUCUGAGGAAGGCCCAGCAGCACAGCCAGUGGGAGCAUGAGAGGCCGUGCCUGUUUGCUGGUGUCCUGGGAUGACCUGGGGACUGAAACAUGUUGAGCUAAUAAUUUGCUGUUGCUUCCUGAAAAAGCAACCUCCCGUCACAUGACAUUUGUUGGAAAACAAGGUUUCCAUACGUGGCAAGGGUUAAAAGACAUGCUUAUUCUCCAUGUAACUGUGCAUCUCUGUGCUGACCAUAGGCAACCAACAUUGCAUCACAGGGCUUGCUAAUACCAGUGGAAGCCUCACCAAUCUUUGUGCUUUAAAUAAACUGACCUAAAAUGUCCUAGUAGCAAGACACCCAGCCAGAAGAAGGCCAAAGAGCAGCAGAAAGCUUACUGCGGCAGGCGACAAUGCAAAAUAACUCAGCCAUUCAAAACCAUUCAUUGUUCAUGUCAGCCCUUGAUUAAUAGGCGCUUAAAUUAAGUUUUGUUUGUUUGUUUGUUUGUUCUGGGAUUAGCUGCUUUGCUGGGAAGGAACACAAGCCCCUCAAGAGAAACAGGGGUGACACAGACUUAUGGCUCUCCUGCACUCUCACCUGCCUGAGAAGUGAAGGAGUCUUGUGGGGCCGUGACUACCGGCAUAGCUGUUCUUUGGUGACUGACAAUGCAGUAGGCAGAAGCCUUGGGGCUUCCCCUGAUCCUACAGAACCAGUCCUGGGAGGUAAUGCCACGCUCUGAGUGCUUUGCCGGAACAAAAGUUGGAUGUGCUUCCCAUCACGGUGAGGGGAACAGAAAUUAAACUUCAUGAGCUUGAACAAAAGACGAAUCACUGGGAGGGGAGAGGAGAGAGAAAGGGAGAGAAACCACAGACAAUUAGUACUGUACAGGCUCUGACAGAGUCAUUAAUGAGGGAUAAUAUCCAAUUAAGGAGGAGGAUGGAAAAUCUGGGGAAUGCCUGUACAUAUUCCAGUAAAUUGCUCGCAGAUCCUCCCUAUUCCCCUCCCCAACUCUGAUGAUCAUCUAAACGGGAAGAAAAUGUUGGAGUGAAAUAGAGUUGAUGGAAAUAUCUGGAGCCCCUAGGCAGGUGGCUGGCUUCCCGGAUGUCCUGGGAGUGCAGCCCCGCUCACAUGCCUCAUCAGAAAUGCACGAACUCAAGGGUGAGCGAGAGGCAGCCUGGAAGGCUCUGGCAAUGAUUUAACUCAAUUAAAGUCUGUGGGAGGGCUCAGCUUCACAUCAUGAGGCAAACACAGGAUGAGUAACUGAUAUAAGACCGAACAGCACUUUCCUUGUGCCUUUUGUCUUUAGAGUGGCGGGAGGUGGAUGAUAUUCCUGCAUCGACAUGGUAAUGCUGGAGCUGGGAAGACUGUGGUGAGGCAUUAAGGCUUUUUUUUGUUGUUGUUGUCAGAAAGGUCAUCAGCAACUUGGAAAUGCAGAUUUCCUUCUAACAGGAAGCCUCUUUUUUAAACUUUCUAUCCAUCUCAGCGUUUCUUUAAAUGGAACUGUUAGUCCUGUUGAUGUGACCUAAAUCAGCAAUGUCCUGCAUAGGAAAGAGAAAUAAUUCACAGUCCCCAGUGUCUCAGAAACACUUGUUUGGAUUGACAGAGCAAAGAUAUGUUUCCAGAUAUCCUCUUAUAAAAAUAGAUGGUAGCAAUUUUCAGAAUUUCAAUUUGUCUGGUUUUGAUGUUUUUGUGGGCUUUUCUUUUUUAUUUCAUCUUUUAAUUUUGUUUUUAAAGUAAAACAAAACCAAACAAAGCAAACAACAACAACAAAUAAAAACCCAAACUUAAAUUUUGUCAGCAGUAUUGUUUUCUAUUUACCACCCCUGUCCCUUUAUUUUUUUAUUUACCUUUCUUCAAGUGAUUCCCAGAGCAGUGCCGGGAGUAAAACUAAGGUGAUUUGUUUCAGCCGAUGCACAUGAAGUAUGUUAGGAGAGCUGGAGGAAAUUCGGAGACUUUUCUGGACCUUCACGGCCUUUCUGAAUGCCAUUUAGUCCCUUUUCCUCCCAAGCUCUAAGACUAAACUCUAUCUUACUGUUGCAGUAAGGCACAGGGACAAUUACAUGCCUGCAUUUACAAAUGGCUUCUAAACAGCAUAAUCACUGAGCUCCCAAAGGUCUGAAAGAUGGGGCUUCACUUGCUCUCUCCAUUGUUUCUUUCCACCACAGAAAUACGUAUACUUAGUCCCUUUCAGACACAGUGUAUACAACCAGUGUUUAUUGCAUCUAUGAAAGAUACGGAUCCCAUUUUUCCCAGGACAGUGCUGUUGGUGUGCACAAAGGCACAAUACCAGUAAGAUUAAUAUCAGCUUCUGCUUUGCCAUUCCAAGCCCCUGCUAACUGUAAAUAAUAUUUUAGCAAAGAUCUUGAUGCAUCAUGAUCUAUUGUGUUGCAGUGAUGAUGCUGCUUGUUAUGUCUUUAGCAGUGAUUUAUCAUCCUCUGCAAUGACACAAAUCACGGAUGGCUCAUGACACUCCAGGAUGUAUGAUCUCUUAGUGGUGGCAGUGAUGAAUUCUGCGCUUAGAUCAUAACAUUUUGAAACCUGGGAUGUGGAGCUGAUCCUUUGCUUUUUACUUUUAAAAGGUACCCAAAGCAAUAAAAUCCUCUCUUUGUUAACAAUACGUCAAGGAGAACAUCUCUCCCUUUCACGAUAGCUUGUUACGGUUCAUUCUAGCUAAGCCUCAAAUGGUUAUCAGGCAACUCCAGAUUACUCAUUCCUUUUGCUUUUCCCUCUACUAUCUUCUAACCUUUAAUGUCCUCCUCCUGCAUUCUGGUCCCAGGGACAUAUUUUGAAAUUCUGCUGCAUGUAUAAUGAGUAUAAAAUGUUCCUCUCGGAGCUGGAGAAAGCUCAGAUGUUUGGGUACAGUAGGCCCAUUCCGACACAACAAGCCUACGCUCAAGCUGUGAUCCCAACAGAGAAGAAAGCUUUUCAGGUCUGAGCUGCUCUCCUUCAGUGAGCUGCAGCCCUGCCGGCUCCGCUCCCAGGAAGUGGAAGCACUUGCUCUUGUUUAUUUUUAUCUGAAACAUCUCAGGUAAGAGAGGAUGGAAUGGGGAGGGGGAGUGUCAGAGCCUCAUUUUUCACUGCUGGGUCCCUCCUGCUGUCAGGACAGUGUGUUUCUACCUUGAGAAAUUCAUAAAUUAUGGGAAGAUUUCAGAUUUGGGGAUUUUAGCAAUGAAAAAAGAGAUGUUAAUGUGAAAGAAAAAGAAGAAGAAGAAGACGAAGAAGAAGUAAAAAAGAAAUUCCCUAGCAAUCAGAUAGGAUCAAGUGGUUCCCUCCAUGGUGACCACCACAGGUACUGGCACCCUGGGCUCAGGCCUCAGCUCAGUGGAGGUGGUGGUAGGUCCUGGUCAGCCAUCCUCCAUGGAGGUGACAGUGACCAAAUGGGUCCUUGUGCACCUCUGGGGGCACCUGGGUCUGCCCCAAGCCCCCAUCUUCAUUGCCAAUGCCUGCAGGCUCUGAGGUGGCUCAUCACCACUGGAUGGAGCACAAGAGGUGAGAGAGGAGAGCUGAGCAAUCCUCAUGGGAUACUGGGCUGGCUGGCUGCCUUGGCCUGGGCUCCAGCAUGGCUUCCAGGGAGCCCAUUAAUAACCCAGAGCCUGCUCAUGGGGAUGGGACGCCUCAGGGUGCCCUGUUGCUUGGUGCCAGCCCCAUCGGCUGCAGCUGCUGCCCACCAGCAGGGAUCUGGGCAGCUGCCAGUGCUCUGCCAGCCAGCGGUGCCCUGCCAACCAAGAGGUCCUUGGUGGAUGGAUCCACACCAGCACCGGACACGUUAUGGGGCAGAGGCAUCCUCUUGGCAUCAUGGCAGCGCUGCCACAGCAGCCAGGGCAAGGGUCAAGGCAAGGGGCAGGACAGCAGCGCAGCAAUUCAAGGCAUCAUCUCCUCAGAUGUGCACAGAGGACUGAGGUGCUGGCCCUCAGCCUGUCUCUGCAGGACACGACCAGCCUGGCCACUUCAAGGCUGUAGCGUGGUUGGAGUUGGCUGUGUGCGGCUGGUGGUCCAUCCUAUGGUCAAAUCUCAGGGAAGUGGCUUUUCUGACCUACUCCUUCCCUUGCAGAAGAGGAGUUCUCAGUCAGUCCACCAACCGUAAGAAUUCACUUCUCAAGAGAAGAUGGCUCAUUUUAGGAAGGGAGAUUUUUCUAGAACUUAGUAAAAUAAGAACUGUAAUUAUCAGCCAGAGACAGCAAAGCAUCAUGGAAAAUACUACCUCCAGUGGUGAAUGUUCAGCCACAUUACAAUACAACAAAGCGAGAUUCAAGAAUAGAAAAUCUCAGGCUAUUCUUUAGAGCUCAUUAGUGCCUAUGUUUUCUGUAAUUCAUUGCAUGAUAUGACAUCAAGAUAUAAUAUUGCUGCAACAGGCAAUGUUGUCCCCUAAGAAGAGACUUAUAAUGAGCAAGACACAAAUGCGUUGUAACACAUGCUUUCUAGGUUACAUGUUCUAGAGCGGUCAGCUAUGACAACCCAUAAGUGGCCAUUCAGACCAAACCUUUCCUUAUUACUGGUCUUAAAUGUCCAUUUCUAGAAAGGGAAACAUUUAUCUGUGGUUUGCAAAGGUGAGAGAAGCCAUUUCUGCUACACCUUCUCACGGUAUCCCUUUUCUUCACUUUCCAGUACAUAAGUGUGGCUGUCACUGAAAUUCUCAACAGGGGGGAUUUUACACAUCUAAUAGAUUUAUCACAUCCAGCACUUUGCCAUUUGACACCCACUUUGCUAUUUAUUUUGCCUCCUCCUUUACACUGCUGUGCAGGAUGAUGCUCCCAUCUCUUUAUAGAUCUUCAAGCUAUCUGGGGAGAGGUGGGGAUUCACCUUCAAAAAAAAAAAUAAAAAAGAUUGUUCCUGUUCUGGUGAAGGACUUGAGUGCCGAUGCAGCUCUAAGCAUGGGAGGAAGUUACGUGUGUUUCAUGAGAUGGCUCACCUUUAAAAUUAAACUACUUAAUAACUUUCAAA